rnacentral:rRNA from 1 species
AGUGAACGCUGGCGGUAUGCCUAACACAUGCAAGUCGAACGGCACCACAGUAAGUGCUUGCUCUUACGGCUUGCGAGUCGCGUACGUCUCAGGUAUACAUCGUAAUCUACUUUUUCGUGUGGGCUAACGUAGCUAAACUUACUCUACUACCGCAUACCACUUUCGCUUGUAUGCUGGCCAUCUUCUCACCUUGCGCUAUUCACUCAGCCGAUGUCGGAUUAGCUAGUUGGCGGGGUAAAGGCCCACCAAGGCGACGAUCCGUAGCUGGUCUGAGAGGAUGAUCAGCCACACUGGAACUGAGACACGGUCCAGACUCCUACGGGAGGCAGCAGUGGGGAAUAUUGGACAAUGGGCGCAAGCCUGAUCCAGCCAUACCGCGUGGGUGAAGAAGGCCUUCGGGUUGUAAAGCCCUUUUGUUGGGAAAGAAAAGCAGCAGGUUAAUACCCCGCUGUUCUGACGGUACCCAAAGAAUAAGCACCGGCUAACUUCGUG